rnacentral:rRNA from 1 species
GACGAACGCUGGCGGCGCGCCUAACACAUGCAAGUCGAACGGAGCUGAGAGAAGCUUGCUUUUCUUAGCUUAGUGGCGAACGGGUGAGUAACGCGUGAGUAACCUGCCCUGGAGUGGGGGACAACAGUUGGAAACGACUGCUAAUACCGCAUAAGCCCACUAUCCAGCAUCGGUUUGAGUGAAAAGGAUUUAUUCGCUUCAGGAUGGACUCCCCUCCAUUUAUCUAGUUGGUGAUGUAACGGACCACCAAGGCGACGAUUGUUAGCCGGGAUGGGAGGAUGAACGGACACAUUGGGAGAGAGACAAGGACGAGACUCCUACGGGAGGAAGCAGUGGGGGAUAUGGAACAAUGGGGGAAAGAAUGAUGCAUCGACGUCGCGUGGAGGAAGAAGGUGUUCGGAUUGUAAACUCGUGUGGAUAGGGAAGAUAAUGACGGUACCUAACAAGAAAGCAACGGCUAACUACGUG